rnacentral:rRNA from 1 species
AGUUGAUCCUGCUGGACCCGACUGCUAUCGGAUUGAGAUUUAGCCAUGCGAGUCGAACGUCUCCCUGUUGCGGGAGGCGUGGCGUACGGCUCAGUAACACGUAGUCAACCUGCCCUAGAGACAUGGACAACCCCGGGAAACUGGGACUAAUCCGUGAUAGGUCAUCUCAUCUGGAAGGAGAGAUGGUUUAAAGGGUGCGAGAGCUUCUUUCUUGUACCUGCUCUAGGAUGGGACUGCGGCCGAUCAGGCUGUUGGUGGGGUAAUGGCCCACCAAACCUGUAACCGGUACGGGCCUUGAGAGAGGGGGCCCGGAGAUGGACACUGAGAGAAGGGUCCAGGUCCUACGGGGCGCAGCAGGCGCGAAACCUUCGCAAUGCGCGAAAGCGUGACGAGGUUAAUCCGAGUGGUCCCCGCUAAGGGGAUCUUUUCUUGGCUCUAAAACGGCCAGGGAAUAAGGGGAGGGCAAGUCUGGUGUCAGCCGCCGCGGUAAUACCAGCUCCUCGAGUGGUCGGGGCGAUUAUUGGGCCUAAAGCAUCCGUAGCCUGUUCCGUAGGUCUUCUGUUAAAUCCAACGGCUUAACCGUUGGCCUGCAGAAGAUACCGCGGGACUAGGAGGCGGGAGAGGUGGACGGUACUCUACGUGUAGGGGUAAAAUCCUUUGAUCCGUAGAAGACCACCAGUGGCGAAGGCGGUCCACCAGAACGCGCUCGACGGUGAGGGAUGAAAGCUGGGGGAGCGAACCGGAUUAGAUACCCGGGUAGUCCCAGCCGUAAACGAUGCGAGCUAGAUGAUCCAAUCGCAAAUCGCGAUUGGAGUGUCGCAGGGAAGCCGUUAAGCUCGCCGCCUGGGGAGUACGGUCGCAAGACUGAAACUUAAAGGAAUUGGCGGGGGAGCACCACAAGGGGUGAAGCCUGCGGUUCAAUUGGAGGCAACGCCAGGAAACUUACCAGGAGAGACAGCAGGUUGAGGGUCAAGCUGAAGACUUUACCUGACGAGCUGAGAGGAGGUGCAUGGCCGUCGCCAGCUCGUGCCGUGAGGCGUCCUGUUAAGUCAGGCAACGAGCGAGACCCCUAUUGGUAAUUGCUAACUGUCCAGAGAUGGAUAGAGGCUAGUUACCGAGACUGCCGCUGCUAAAGCGGAGGAAGGAGGGGGCCACGGCAGGUCAGUAUGCCCCGAAACUCCUGGGCCACACGCGGGCUGCAAUGGUAGGGACAAUUGGUUCCGACUUCGAAAGAAGAAGGCAAUCCGCAAACCCUACCUCAGUUGUGAUUGAGGAUUGAAACCCGUCCUCAUGAAUAUGGAAUCCCUAGUAACCGCGUGUCAUCACCGCGC